UACGACGGGGGCGAGCGUUGUUCGGAUUUACUGGGCGUAAAGGGCGCGUAGGCGGCCGCUCAAGUCAGGCGUGAAAGCCCCGGGCUCAACCUGGGAGGUGCGCUUGGGACUGGGUGGCUGGAGUUCGGGAGAGGAGCGUGGAAUUCCCAGUGUAGAGGUGAAAUUCGUAGAUAUUGGGAAGAACACCGGUGGCGAAGGCGGCGCUCUGGACCGAGACUGACGCUGAGGCGCGAAAGCGUGGGGAGCAAACAGG
rnacentral:rRNA from 1 species